rnacentral:lncRNA from 1 species
GUGGCCACGAUGAGGCAAAAUUACACGCCAUCGUGGCCACGAUGGGUGCGAUGGAUGCGCAGAAAAAGCCCAAACCAGUUGAAAAACUAUAAAUAGAGAGCCUUCCUCCUCCACUAUUAUUCAUUCAGAAAUCACUCAACAAUAGUGAUAUUCAAAAGAGAGUUAGGAGAACUCUAAAGAGGAGGUCAACGAACUCCAAGGCCAAUAAGGUUCCUUUCUUUUCUGUCUUUGUAAUUUAUUUUUCCUAGGUUAGGUGGAGUCGUUGAACUCCCUUACGAAUGCUUGAUUUUGUAUAAUUUGGGUAUAAAUUCAAUUGUUUCUACUUUCAAACUCUUUUAUCGUCUGAUUUUAUAUUUAUUUCAAUACUGAUCGCAUUAGAAUAAAAUCUAAGGAGCUAAUGGAUAUCGGAUAGGAAACGAAGCUAGUUAUCCCGAACGAAGGACGGUGUGCUAAGGUCCAACAUGAGACCAUUAAAUUCAGUAUCCGAGGUCUUAGUAUAGGAUUAAAAGCUUAGUCUAGAACGAUAAAUUCUACAUGAGGCAGAGUUAGGACUAGUUUAGGCACACGUGACAGGUUGUGACACAUUGAGCCUUAAAGGUAAUGAUACCAAAGUUUGUAACGAAUAAGUGGAACCGGCUGGAGCUAUGAUAUUUAAGCAGAGUAGGGCAACCUAAACUAGGCUCUGAACAGUCUGUA